GGCAGGUGGCGAAGCGGCUAUCGGGCACUUCGAGUGCCCGAGGAACUUCCCCUCUCCCAUAAAAAGUGCCGCGGCGUAAGCCGCCUCCCGGAGACGGGAGAUACCGGGCACAGAAACGAGACCCCCUACCCUCAAAUGACGAUGAUGCAGAGAAGGGGCGGGGCAACCCGCUCCGAGCUAACCUGCUGAGGAGAGGGUAGGAAAGGAUGAAACGGCCCGUGGCACGGGAGCAAGCGUAAGCCACCGUCAAUGAGAUGAGACGGUGGCCUAGCGCUUAGUCAAAUG
rnacentral:RNase_P_RNA from 1 species